UACAGAGGUCCCAAGCGUUGUUCGGAUUCACUGGGCGUAAAGGGUGCGUAGGUGGUUGGGUAAGUCUGAUGUGAAAUCUCCAGGCUCAACUCGGAAAUGGCAUUGGAUACUAUCCAGCUUGAGGAGUGGAGGGGGGACUGGAAUACUUGGUGUAGCAGUGAAAUGCGUAGAUAUCAAGUGGAACACCAGUGGCGAAGGCGAGUCCCUGGACACUUCCUGACACUGAGGCACGAAAGCUAGGGGAGCAAACAGG
rnacentral:rRNA from 1 species